rnacentral:rRNA from 1 species
AUUCCGUUCUACACCAGCACCCGCGGUAAUUCCAGCUCCAAUAGCGAAUACUAAUUCCGCUGCAGUUAAAAAGCUCGUAGUUGAACUUCUGGUAGGACAGAUCCGGCCUUUGGAUGAAUGUCCAUUGUAUGCUGUGUGUCUUGUCUGGCCAUCCUUUAUGUCUUUUAGGCGUAAUCUUUCACUGUAAAAAAAUUAGGGUGUUUCAAGCAAAAGUUAUUUGGAAUAUAUUAGUAUGGGAUGAUAAGAUAGGCUCUUGAGUGCUACUUUGUUGGUUUAUACACUUAGAGAAUGAUUAACAGGGACAGUUGGGGGUAUUCAUAUUUACAUGUCAGAGGUGAAAUUCUUGGAUUUUGGAAAGAUGAACUACUGCGAAGGCAUUUACCAAGGAUGUUUUCAUUA